UACGUAGGGCGCAAGCGUUGUCCGGAAUUAUUGGGCGUAAAGAGCUCGUAGGUGGCUUGUCGCGUCUGCCGUGAAAGCCCAUGGCUUAACUGUGGGUCUGCGGUGGAUACGGGCAGGCUGGAGGCUGGUAGGGGCAAGCGGAAUUCCUGGUGUAGCGGUGAAAUGCGCAGAUAUCAGGAGGAACACCGGUGGCGAAGGCGGCAUCCUGGACCAACACUGACACUGAUGAGCGAAAGCCAGGGAGCAAACGGG
rnacentral:rRNA from 1 species